GCCUGGGUGGCUCAGUUGGUUGAGCGUCUGACUUUGGCUCAGGUCAUGAUCUCAUGGUCUGUGAGUUCGAGCCCCGCGUCGGGCU
rnacentral:tRNA from 1 species